rnacentral:lncRNA from 1 species
UUUAUCAUCACCAUCAUCGUAUUAUUGGUAUGAUAAGGAAACAUACAGAAAGAAUCCAACCAUGGAUAAUAUUAGUUCAGAGAAAAGCUCACAGAUGCUACAAAUAAAAGAAAGAAACCAUGAGAGCUUUCUUUUUAUUUAUCAAAUGAGGUCUCUCCUUUUGCUCCGAGAAAUGGAGGAAGAAGAAGAUGUAAGAUCAUGAUCACUUCUCAGGCUGAGGAUUGCCUUUCCACUUGAAGUUGUCCGAGUAAGACUUGGGCUGCAGUUUAUGGUUAGAUGAGAACAACCAUCAUAAGUAACAUGUCUCUUCAUAUUAUGCACAAGCGUGAUGAGCAGUAUGAUGAUGAGUUAAAAAAAAAACAAAUCAACAUCCAGUGGAAUUAGCUAAAAAAAAAAGAUAGAUACUAACCUUCAGUAGUGGCGUUUUGGGUUUCUUGACCUGCCAUGAGACUCAGGAACGUGACACACUCUCAUAAAAAUAUGAAAAAACAUAUAACAAAGAAGGAAACAUACAGUAUAAUCCCAGCCAUGACGCUCAGCAAAGGACUUGGCAGCAUCCUCAGAAUCAAAAGAAAGAGCGGAGUCACCGACAUUGGCAUAAGGGUCACCUGUAGAAGUCCAUCCCAUCAAUGGAUUCUCCCACCUAACAAACAUAUCAUAAGACUCGGUGAAUCCACAGAUUAUCUUUUUUUUUUUUUUUAAGUUAAUUACAAAACAAAACAAAAAUAGAUUGAAGGAAGAUACUUUAAGGUGGAGAGGAAGUUGAUCUUCCAUUUGCCAAGUUUGCCAGAUCCUUGCUGAGUCGCAGUUCUAGCUGGUGAGUAUAUUAUCACCUGCCAAAGAUCACCCCAUCUAUCUCAAUUUCUCCCACACAAAAAAAAAAAGACUAAUUCAAUAAAUUCGAAUGCUUUUUUUUUUUAACCAACCUUGCGGGAAAGAUGCUCCUCGGGGAUUCCGGAGACCUUACCGAUCUCCCCACGCUUGUAAUCCGUCUCCACCACCGCGUCCGUUGAGAAAGGUCGAGCGACACGCCGUAGCGUCGCCGCCGCGAUACGGCCAGUCGAUUGAGUAGCACGAAGCGCCAUCGUGUCACGCAAAAUGGAGAUAUCUCUGGAAACAACUCUCUUACUAAUUUUUUAUAUUAAUAGAAUGGUGAAUUUUCAUUUCAGCCAUCGAACAAUUUAUAAAUUAUCCUAUCUGUCUUAGUAUUAUAUAAAUCUCCACAAUACUCCCACCUAUUAUUUCCUUCACAAAUUAAAUGCUAAUAUAUGAAUUAUGAAUUUUGGUUUAUAGUACUAACAUAACACACAAACAAACUUAUGACCAGUGUACAAUUUAUCUUUGAUGUAUCUCAAAUAAUAAGGUUUUGAAUUUAAAAUUUAUAUAGUCAUCAUUAUAUAUGUAUUGAAAAAUAUUUGUUUAUUCAAAAGGUGCUCUUUGAUAAUUGUUUAUAACUUUAGGAAAAUUGGUGAAUACUGAGAAAUAAAAAAAGGCUUCAUUUUUGAUACAAAAGAAAGCUUAAUUUUUGGUUCAUUUGUAUGGAUAAUUCAUCUUUGUGGGUUACUCUCUGAUCUUCUUCCUUCGUUCGUUCGGUUAAGCGAAAUCACAUUUGAUCCAUAUGACACAUCUUCUACUCGAAGAAUAACCUUUCAUCACCCAAAAAAGAACUCUCCUUUGCUUCCGUUUGCUUCUUCCUUCCUUAAUUAUCGUUUUUUUCUUUUGUCUUCUUUCUCUUCUCUGGGUUGUCUCGGAUCGUCGCAUUUGAUUUUGGUAUAACAUUUGUAUUGCGUUAUUUUGCUUGUGAUGUGUCUGAACGUUGUUGAUUGAUUUUCUUUCUUGUUGGUUAAAUAAAUCACUGGAUUUGAUCCUCUUUUGGUUUAGAAACCUCUCGUUGAUUUGAUGUACUCGAUAAAUGUUUUGGCUUUGUUAAAUUUGAAAACUUUGAUCCUCUUUGUACAUAGUUUUAAUCGUUUUGUGGUGUUUUUCAUCUCUUUGCAGAAAAAUAAAAAAAGAGAGAAAAAUAUAAAACUUUUUAAGUUUGUUGAGAGAGUUGUUCAAAUGGGUGCGCCAAAGCAGAAGUGGACACCGGAGGAAGAAGCAGCACUUAAAGCUGGUGUUCUUAAGCAUGGCACUGGCAAGUGGCGUACUAUUCUCUCCGAUCCUCACUUCAGCUCAGUUCUCAAGUCUCGCUCUAAUGUUGAUCUCAAGGUACAACUAAAGAGUUCUGCUUUUGUUUGAGUUUUGUGAUUGCGGAUUAGUCUUUUUGAUAUAUCAAUAGCGUAACAGGACAAGUGGAGAAACAUAAGUGUGACUGCGUUGUGGGGUUCACGGAAGAAGGCUAAACUUGCUCUUAAAAGGGCUCUCCCAUUAAGAAGAGGUGGUGGUGGGUGGAGGCCUGCUUUACACAGCAUUCCGGAGUUUGGAUCCUCGUGAGAGAACUCUUUUAAAAGCAUAUAGAUAUUUUUAAAGCACUAUCCGACAACAUUGAAAGUUAAUGUGUAAAGCGAUGUUAUUUAUCAUAGAUGCUUUAUUGAAGAUCCAGUCUCAAUAAAUAUUUUCAACAAACUUUAACGUUUUAAAUAUUUGAGAUUUUUUAUGAGUAUUCUCGAACGAGAUUUAUCGUAAAGUUUUCACGUAAUAUCAUAAAGUUUUCGAUUACAUGCAAUGAUAAGAUGUUAGGCGCAACCCACCGGGCAACUAACCAAAUGAUAAGUGCACAACAAAAAAAAAGCUGUUUUAACCAAACGGUGAUUAUUGGAUGGUUAAGCCAUACAAAAAAUUCGAUACCUUCAAUGAUAAAGGUAGUUUGUUUAAAAUAUGUUAGGCAGUUCAUUUGGUCGGCCUCUUUCGUCAAUCAUCAUAGCUAUGAAGUCAAUAAGCUAAUGAACUAUACUAUUUGGUUCAGUUAAAACGAGACCAAAACUAUUGAGAAGAUUGAUUUGAUCAGAAAGAUUGAUGAAACAUCAGAAGAGUGUUUAUCAUCACCAUCAUCGUAUUAUUGGUAUGAUAAGGAAACAUACAGAAAGAAUCCAACCAUGGAUAAUAUUAGUUCAGAGAAAAGCUCACAGAUGCUACAAAUAAAAGAAAGAAACCAUGAGAGCUUUCUUUUUAUUUAUCAAAUGAGGUCUCUCCUUUUGCUCCGAGAAAUGGAGGAAGAAGAAGAUGUAAGAUCAUGAUCACUUCUCAGGCUGAGGAUUGCCUUUCCACUUGAAGUUGUCCGAGUAAGACUUGGGCUGCAGUUUAUGGUUAGAUGAAAACAACCAUCAUAAGUAACAUGUCUCUUCAUAUUAUGCACAAGCGUGAUGAGCAGUAUGAUGAUGAGUUAAAAAAAAA